AACCUGAAUGAUCUGAAGAACAUGAAAUGGUGUGAAGGAACUGUGAAAGGUAUUUUAACUAAUGAUCACUUUUUUCCCUAGUUCAUCUUGUUCCUAAGUUUGACUUUCUGCUAUUUGUUUCAAUUGCAUUUUAAAUGGGUAGAUUAUCGGAUGUAUUUGAAUAUAACGUCUAGCGGCCAAUUUCAAUUGGAUAUCAGAGCUAGGACUUGUCAAAAAUUAUAUACAUUAUAUAUCUGAUUUUAUUUUAAAUCAACCUAAUAAACCAGAAUUUGAACGUGUUAAUCUCUUGAUAACAUAUAAUAAAAAAACAUGCUAACCACCGGGACAUUGUGAGUCGUCUGAAUGAAACAGUCUUCUUUGAUCUUAUUCAUAAAUACCAAGUGUUUAGAGGAAAAGCAGUCAAUUUGACACCUCUGGUUCGCACCGGUCGGAGAUCGUAUCCACGACCCCCUGUACCCAAAGGAAACACGCUACAUUUUCAAAGGUUUUUUUUCUUCAGAAUAAACAUAUAUACAUCGACAAAACAGGCGUCAAUAGGUUCCUCGAUUAUUUAUUAAUUAUUUCUAAAAAUUGAAUUACAAUUUUCUCGUUGUAAAAUUAUAUUUAAUUGUUUUGUUAUAUAUUCAACAAAUGGUCUUUGUUUUUAAUAUUUUCAUUUUAUAAUUAAACUGACUUUUGUCGUUUUUUUUUUUUAUUUAUAGCUAAAGCAGGAGUUACAUAUAUUAGAUGGGGAAGAAAUACUUGCACAGGGGAUGCAACACUUGUGUAUAAUGGUAUGUAACUUUUAUUUCUUCCUCCAUGAUUCUGUAAUUAAGAAUAUAAAGAGUAUUCUAAACUUUCGUAAUUAGAAUGAGCAAAUGGUCAAAUUUUGAUUCAGUUAGAAAUAAUCUUGUAGACUAUUUAUUUAUCAUCCUUAUAGACAGAACGACUUAAAACUUGACAUUUGCUAUAUACAUUUGUCUUAUAGAAGAACGAUUGCCUCUUUUAAACUGUAAAAUUGUAUUGUUAAAAUAUUUCUUAUUGCCAUACUGUAUACUAAACAUCUUUGUGUAUGGAAGUUAACGAUAGUUUUUAUUUUCAUGAUUAAAAUACGAGCAUUAACGAUCAUUGCAAGAUGAUCAAAUGCCUAUUUUUUUUUUAAAUCUGGGAAUAAGAAUUAUAAUCAAACAAAUAAAUAAAUACAGUGAGUGGUCAGUGAGAAUAUUUAUAUUUUAGUUCUGCUCUAAAAUUUAAUUAUGUAGAGAAUAUCUUAUAUUUUUGGAAUUUUAAAAACAUUAUAUUAUACAAUGCGAAGCAACAAAUUAUUCAUUUGUUUUCCUACGGUAAGGGUCAAUAAAUCAUGUAUAUUCAAGGUAAGAGAUGCAACUGAUCUCUCUUUCUCUCUUUUACUCUAUUCAAAAUGCGCCCGUAUUUCGCUUUUGACACCAAAUAAUACUUAAAACUGUUUUGUUUUAGGAUUAAUGCCUGAAUUCAAAAUAUUCAAAUUUCAAUCAUUAGAAACGUUCUGCAUUUACGACGUUCAAAAAUAAAUUUCACUCAUUGAUUUUUUUUUUUUUUUUAGAAUACUGGAAAUAGGAAGGGAUCCCGAAAACAACAUUUUGAACUAGUACUUUAAGCUAAAUUACAAGGCAGAAUAUAUCAAAGGGACACAUACUUUUAGAGUAAAAAACCCAG
rnacentral:lncRNA from 1 species